AAAUAUUUUUUAAGUAUUAAUUUGAUGUAUUUUUUUAGUAAAAAAGUCAUCAGCAAUAUGUAUAAAGAAAAUUCGCGUUCUAUUUUUUUGCAUGUAUAUAGUCCGCGUACGGAAAUCGAUAUUUUGUUUGUUUUUAUUCCGAAAAAGCUCUUUUACUUUCUAGUCCGUUUUCCCUUUACACCCUAUUUACCCCUUUUUUAUUAGUUUAUUUUAUGUUUUUGUCGCGCCGUCACAUCACACGAGCAGCCCGUUCAUUUUUUUUCGAUUAUUUUUACGUAGAAUACUAGCAUUAAGAAAAUGUAAAUAAAGUUCAGAAUCUUUUUUAAAACGCUCUAUUUUAAAUGAAUUGUUUAGUAAAGUAUAUUCUGUUCCUAAUGAGUUUGUUUAAAAAAGAUUCUUUAUUUGGACUUGUAAAAAAAGAUGUAAUAAUACAAUAGAUAGGAAAUUGAAACGUACUUAAUUGAUAUUAUAUAUUUUCGGAGAAUUACUUAUUUUACCUAUUUGUAAUUAUUAAUUUUUAACUUACUGAUUGGUUAGUAAACUUUUCUCUCUUUUUUUAUAAUUAAGUACUAGUUAAUGUUGAACUGUAAAGAUUAUUAACCAAUCAUUAUCAGUACAAAUAUUGUUUAAAUUAACUUCAACUUGACUAUGCAAAAAGUUCGAACGAUCGAAACAAUAAUACAAGUAUGUGAUAGCAACUUUUUCUUAUCUAUUGACGAAAUUGUUGAAGCCGAUGCCUUAAAAUGUAAAAUUUCGAUCGUAUUGUAGUAGUCGAGUACGUUUUGGGGAAGUAGUAUCAGUAAUAUCGAGAACCGUCGCAUGUAAAUCGAGAUUCGUAUAAUUUCUGCCGUGUGGUGUGGCUUGGUGUGGACUCGCCUAAAUCCGACUCGACUGACCCGAGCCUUAUCUCUGCAGAGCGACCAACGAACGGCGCGAACAGGCGCGCAAAGACCUCAAAGGCCUGGAAGACACCGUCGCCAAAGAGCUGCAGACCCUCCACAACUUGCGCAAGCUGUUCGUCCAAGAUCUACAGGCCAGAAUGAAGAAGAAUAUGUCUAACGAGGAUAACGAGGAGGACGGCGGUUCGCUGGCGCAGAAA